rnacentral:lncRNA from 1 species
UGAUUGAAGAUUUUUUUUUAACUCCAGCAAAGAAAAAGUUAAACCAAACGGUUCAACAUCCAAGUUUUCAUGUCCGAUUGAAGUUAUGAAGAGGGCAAAACCCCAAUUGAUUGAAAUUUUGGGGCUGCAUCUAAAGGAAUUUGUUUCUUUUCUUCGUCUUCACCUGUCCAACUUUCUUCGUCGUCAUAUAAUCUGAUCCUCCCUCUUCUCUCUCCUUUCUUCAGGUAAGAAGAUAGAGCUUCGAACAUCUGAGAAGGGGCAGGACGAAAUGCACGUCAAAUUUAAAUCCGGUCAAGCUGAGGGGCAGGAGCAGGAGCAAAUGCACUGACUGCAUUUAAAUCUGAUGAAGCUAGGUGUAAUACCCCAGACUUUCAAAGAUAAGCGACCCCUGAUUUGACUAUUCAGUGUGCGAAUUGGAAUCCGGGAUCAAAGAUGGAAAAUUUGGAUUUUGAGGGUCAUAACGGACCGUCACUAUUGAUAUAACGACUUUUAUGAGAUUUUGAGUGGCCGCGUACCAUGUGGAAAAGGCUUGGUAACGGACCGUUACCAAAACCAUAAUGGUCCGUUACGGAAUGGCUAAGGGCAUAGCCAGGAGGUGACACGUGUCUGGAUGACUAAUCAUCGGUAACGUACCAUCACUGUCACGGUCCAUUUCGUGUCCACAGUGCAGAUAUUAGUCCACAAGACUCCACCCUUUUGUAUGAUGUCGUGGAAGUCCGGUAUGCCACACCAUACUCAAGAAGAUGCGGAAACUCAAUAUCAUUGUUACAUAGUAACUCGCCAGGGAUUGAAAUAUAAAUGCUCACUUUCUUUAAUAAUAAAAUUAACAUUACUUGGUUAGAAUCACACGGUGAUGUGUGAUUCUUAGUCGUAGUCAACUAGCAUACAAUGACAUUGAUUAGAAUAUUUGGCUAUAUUGAAUAAGUCUAAUGAACCUA